GGAUAAUUGCUUUACUGAAUUUUGUUGUUUUCUGUCAAACCUCAACAUGAAUCAGCCAUAGGUAUACAUAUAUCCCCUCCCUUUUGAACCUCCCUCCCAUCUCCCUCCCCAUCCCAUGCCUCUAGGUUGAUACAGAGCCCCUGUUUGAAUUUUCUGAGCCAUACAGCAAAUUCCAGUUGGCUGUCUAUUUUACAUAUGAUUGUUUCUAGGAGCUAAACAUCAGCCCGCUGUGCUAACACCAUUGAGACUUUGCCAGUGCGUUUCCUCCAUGUGGCGGUACUGCAUUCACCAUGCCGUGGGUCCACGGAUGCAAGAGUUGACCUUUCAGGAGGGCUGGGCCCCAGCCAGCCUGCUGGCAGCUUCUGUUCUGCAGGUGGGAGAAGGCAGCCAAGUGCAAAGACCCUCGUUCACCUCUCCUGGGCUUUGCCUCCCUGAGAAUCCAUCUCCCGUGCUCUGCCUGAGCCUCCACCUGGCCUAGUUCUCCGGAUGGUGUCUUUCCUCUGUCGCACAUCCAGGCAUCAGGAAGAGCCAACCUCCUUACCCCAGUCAGCAACCAAGCAAGCUUCCAAAGGCUCUGGCCAGCCUGGCGCGGCCCUCCCUGCCUCUCGGUUCAGGACCCUGCAGAAAUCGGGAGGGAAUGCGUCUCCUGGGCUGGUGCCCAGUUCUGACUGAGGCUGGGCUGAGGGCCCCUCUGCAUCCCUCCCCCACGGACACACAGGGCUUUCUAGUCAGAUUAUGCCAUGGAAACUAUGCACAC
ensembl:lncRNA